rnacentral:rRNA from 1 species
GACGAACGCUGGCGGCGUGCCUAAUACAUGCAAGUCGAACGCUGAAGAGAGGAGCUUGCUCUUCUUGGAUGAGUUGCGAACGGGUGAGUAACGCGUAGGUAACCUGCCUUGUAGCGGGGGAUAACUAUUGGAAACGAUAGCUAAUACCGCAUAACAAUGGAUGACACAUGUCAUUUAUUUGAAAGGGGCAAUUGCUCCACUACAAGAUGGACCUGCGUUGUAUUAGCUAGUAGGUGAGGUAAUGGCUCACCUAGGCGACGAUACAUAGCCGACCUGAGAGGGUGAUCGGCGACACUGGGACUGAGACACGGCCCAGACUCCUACGGGAGGCAGCAGUAGGGAAUCUUCGGCAAUGGGGGCAACCCUGACCGAGCAACGCCGCGUGAGUGAAGAAGGUUUUCGGAUCGUAAAGCUCUGUUGUAAGUCAAGAACGGGUGUGAGAGUGGAAAGUUCACACUGUGACGGUAGCUGACCAGAAAGGGACGGCUAACUACGUG